ACGAUCGUAUUACGAAACUCUUUUCGCGCCCCGAUCGGGGCUCUAGUGUUUGUGCGCGUUCGUGGAACCCUCGCUGACUCUUGCUGACUGUUAUUCCGGGCAAUUUUUAUUGCAACGCAAUUGAUUGUACGUGCGGUAAACUGUAUACGAGCAAGCAGACGACAUAAGUUGAUUCCGCCGGAAGUUUCGCCGAAGUCCAGGUACAACGCAACGCAACGAUCUCUUCUUUUAUCGCCGAUUAAAUAUAUACAGGGUGGGCGGCAAUUCGGUGACUCUACGUCAAAAAAAUAAGAGAAAAAUUUGAGGAUGUUCCUGUAUGAUUUUCCAACAUGACGGUGCCAUAUUACACGAGAGAGGUUAACAACUUUUUUAAUCAAACGUAUUCGUGUUGGAUCGAUGUUUGCCACCAAGGUCACCGAACCUCACGCCUCUAGAUUUCUUUUUACGGCGGCAUAUCAGAGAAGAAGUUUUAUAAAGACAAUAUUUCAAACAUUACACAUUUGGAGCAAAAGAUUAUGGAGGGAUUCGAGAAAUUGAAAAAAACGACAUCAGAUUGCAUUCUGUUCAGAUAUCAUUCGUCGAGCAACAUACAGCAACGAGGAGGACAUUUUCAACAAUACUAAUAGCACGGGGACGUGAUGGAAGACUGGACAACUAAGUCGUUCACAAAGAUGAAACAAACUUCAAAGUCGAU